CUGGCCGUGCAGCGGAAGCCCGCCUCGGCCUGCUCGCUGCUCGGCUCGACGCUGACGCUGCUGUCCGACGUGGUGUCGCUGCGCCGCUCGCACCGCCGCCUGCCCGACUGCGAGCCCGACGACGACCACACCGACAAUGAAUACGAAGUAAUUGAACCACUGCAGCCUGACGUUAAAGACUUUAAAACUGCUUCUGUGAAGAGCUGUGGAAGCAGCGAGAAAGCGGAAAAGAAUUCCAGAUCAUCGGCUGAAGUUGUUGUCGUCAAGCCAACAUCGUCAAGAGCGAGUGGACCUCCAGUCACGAGCGCAGCUUCCACUAAUGGACUCAGCUCUAACAACAGCGACAAGUUAACCAGUGUGAGUAUUGUUGCAUAAAAUACGCUUUGCGCGUUUGUCCAGCAAAUGGGACAUUCAAAACUUCCCGGAAUUUAAGAAUGUAUACUUUUUAGGUUUUUUGUCUGUCCUGUUCUAAGUACCUGUUGAGAAAAAUCAGUAUUAUAAAUUAAUAUUGUAGCAAUAAGUGGUAGAAAAAGUUAGAUUCAUAGGGAAUGCACUGUUUUGUGUGU